CUGCUUGCUUGGGAAGCAUGUGUACUAAAAUCGGAAUGAUGCAAAGAAAAUUAGCAUGGCCCCUGAGCAAGUAUAACAUGCAAAUUCAUGAAGCAUUCUGUAUUUUU
ensembl:snRNA U6 U6 spliceosomal RNA